rnacentral:rRNA from 1 species
UUUCCGGUUGAUCUGCCGGACCUGACUGCUAUCGGAUUGAUACUAAGCCAUGCGAGUCUUUGUAGUAAUACAAGGCAGACGGCUCAGUAACACGUAGUCAACCUAACCUAUGGACAGGGAUAACCUCGGGAAACUGAGAAUAAUACUGAUAGACCAUAAUACCUGGAAUGGUUUAUGGUUGAAAUGAUUUUUCGCCAUAGGAUGGGACUGCGACCUAUCAGUUUGUUGGUGAGGUAAUGGCCCACCAAGACUAUUACAGGUACGGGCUCUGAGAGGAGAAGCCCGGAGAUGGGUACUGAGACACGGACCCAGGCCCUAUGGGGCGCAGCAGGCGAGAAAACUUUGCAAUGUGCGAAAGCACGACAAGGUUAAUCCGAGUGAUUCCUGCUAAAGGAAUCUUUUGUCAGUUUUAAUAUCACUAAUGAAUAAGGGGUGGGCAAGUUCUGGUGUCAGCCGCCGCGGUAAAACCAGCACCUCAAGUGGUCAGGAGGAUUAUUGGGCCUAAAGCAUCCGUAGCCGGCUCUGUAAGUUUUCGGUUAAAUCCAUACGCUCAACGUAUGGGCUGCCGGGAAUACUGCACAGCUAGGGAGUGGGAGAGGUAGACGGUACUCGGUAGGAAGGGGUAAAAUCCUUUGAUCUAUUGAUGACCACCUGUGGCGAAGGCGGUCUACCAGAACACGUCCGACGGUGAGGGAUGAAAGCUGGGGGAGCAAACCGGAUUAGAUACCCGGGUAGUCCCAGCUGUAAACAAUGCAAACUCAGUGAUGCACUGGCUUGUGGCCAGUGCAGUGCCGCAGGGAAGCCGUUAAGUUUGCCGCCUGGGAAGUACGUACGCAAGUAUGAAACUUAAAGGAAUUGGCGGGGGAGCACCACAAGGGGUGAAGCCUGCGGUUCAAUUGGAGUCAACGCCGGG